UGGGGAAUUUUGGACAAUGGGGGAAACCCUGAUCCAGCCACCCCGCGUGUGCGAUGAAGGCCUUCGGGUUGUAAAGCACUUUUGGCAGGAAAGAAACGUCGCGGGUUAAUACCCCGCGAAACUGACGGUACCUGCAGAAUAAGCACCGGCUAACUACGUGCCAGCAGCCGCGGUAAUACGUAGGGUGCAAGCGUUAAUCGGAAUUACUGGGCGUAAAGCGUGCGCAGGCGGUUCGGAAAGAAAGAUGUGAAAUCCCAGAGCUUAACUUUGGAACUGCAUUUUUAACUACCGGGCUAGAGUGUGUCAGAGGGAGGUGGAAUUCCGCGUGUAGCAGUGAAAUGCGUAGAUAUGCGGAGGAACACCGAUGGCGAAGGCAGCCUCCUGGGAUAACACUGACGCUCAUGCACGAAAGCGUGGGGAGCAAACAGGAUUAGAUACCCUGGUAGUCCACGCCCUAAACGAUGUCAACUAGCUGUUGGGGCCUUCGGGCCUUGGUAGCGCAGCUAACGCGUGAAGUUGACCGCCUGGGGAGUACGGUCGCAAGAUUAAAACUUAAAUGAAUUGACGGGGUCAUA
rnacentral:rRNA from 1 species